GGUAGUCCACGCCGUAAACGAUGUCGACUUGGAGGUUGUGCCCUUGAGGCGUGGCUUCCGGAGCUAACGCGUUAAGUCGACCGCCUGGGGAGUACGGCCGCAAGGUUAAAACUCAAAUGAAUUGACGGGGGCCCGCACAAGCGGUGGAGCAUGUGGUUUAAUUCGAUGCAACGCGAAGAACCUUACCUACUCUUGACAUCCAGAGAACUUAGCAGAGAUGCUUUGGUGCCUUCGGGAACUCUGAGACAGGUGCUGCAUGGCUGCCGUCAGCUCGUGUUGUGAAAUGUUGGGUUAAGUCCCGCAACGAGCGCAACCCUUAUCCUUUGUUGCCAGCGGUUAGGCCGGGAACUCAAAGGAGACUGCCAGUGAUAAACUGGAGGAAGGUGGGGAUGACGUCAAGUCAUCAUGGCCCUUACGAGUAGGGCUACACACGUGCUACAAUGGCGCAUACAAAGAGAAGCGACCUCGCGAGAGCAAGCGGACCUCAUAAGGUGCGUCGUAGUCCGGAUUGGAGUCUGCAACUCGACUCCAUGAAGUCGGAAUCGCUAGUAAUCGUAGAUCAGAAUGCUACGGUGAAUACGUUCCCGGGCCUUGUACACACCGCCCGUCACACCAUGGGAGUGGGUUGCAAAAGAAGUAGGUAGCUUAACCUUCGGGAGGGCGCUUACCACUUUGUGAUUCAUGACUGGGGUGAAGUCGUAACAAGGUAACCGUAGGGGAACCUGC
rnacentral:rRNA from 1 species